rnacentral:rRNA from 1 species
GACAGAGGGUGCAAACGUUGUUCGGAAUUACUGGGCGUAAAGCGAGUGUAGGCGGUCUCGUAAGUCGGGUGUGAAAGCCCUGGGCUCAACCCAGGAAGUGCACUCGAAACUGCGAGGCUAGAGUACUGGAGAGGUUGGUGGAAUUCUCGGUGUAGAGGUGAAAUUCGUAGAUAUCGAGAGGAACACCGGUGGCGAAGGCGGCCAACUGGACAGAUACUGACACUGAGGAGCGAAAGCCAGGGGAGCAAACGGG